AGGAAAAGAAACUAACAAGGAUUCCCCUAGUAACGGCGAGUGAAGAGGGAAGAGCUCAAAUUUUAAAUCUGCCUUGUUCCAAGGUCGAGUUGUAAUUUGAAGAAGCGUUUUCUUGGGCUCGCGGCCGGUAGAAGUUCUUUGGAACAGGACAUCAUAGAGGGUGACAAUCCCGUCCGUGACCGGUCGUGCGUUCAUMUACGAUACGCUUUCAAAGAGUCGAGUUGUUUGGGAUUGCAGCUCCAAACGGGUGGUAAACAUCACCUAAGGCUAAAUAUUGGCGAGAGACCGAUAGCGAACAAGUACCGUGAGGGAAAGAUGAAAAGAACUUUGAAAAGAGAGUUAAACAGUACGUGAAAUUGUUGAAAGGGAAACGAUUGAAGUCAGUCGUGCUGGCGCGAAAUCAACCCUCUCGUCUUGAGAUCACAUGGCGCGACGAGCCUCAAAACCGUCACGAAGCGUGAACUCUUGACGAAAAGGUGCACUUUCGUGUCCGCUGGUUAACAUCAAUUUCGAACGUCAUAAAAAGGCUGGAGGGAUGUGGCUCCUUCGGGAGUGUUAUAACCUUUAGCGGAAUGUGGCGUUCGGGAUUGAGGAUUGCAACGAAUACCUUCAGGGCUGUUCCACCUGGCUUCUCAUUGGUAUCCUGGUGACGACAGCUUGCUGACGUCGUUAGGAUCAGCUUCUGAACAGGCUAGAGUGUGAGCAAAUUCGUWAAGGAUGUUAACGUAAUGGCUUUAAACGACCCGUCUUG
rnacentral:rRNA from 1 species